rnacentral:lncRNA from 1 species
GACCCGAUCGUCGCCAGGCUCCCCGCUGCGUGAUCUGUGGUGAUCCCCACUACCGGCGACAGUGUUCACGCAGCCGGGGCAGGUGUUUCUCGUGUGGCCAGGAGGGCUACUUUCAGUCGGACUGUCCGAGGAGUCCAUUGCCAGCGCCAUCUUCGGCAUCUGCACCAGCAUCGCCAGGUCCCAGUCAGGGGACAUUUUCUGCGCAUCACCAGGCAGGACGGCCGCCAGUUCAGCGGCAGGUGGAGGGGUCACGACAGGCCCCGAGCGGGCGCAUGUAUGCGGCCCAUACUGAGGAGGCGGCGGCAGCCGAGAAUAUGGUCGCAGGUAUCACUUUACUUUAUGGUAUUCGAGUUAGAGCUUUGUUUGAUACCGGUGCAUCGCAUUCAUUCAUAGAUCGGCUGUUUGCCGAGCUGCAUGGCAUCCCAUUUGUAUCCUUGUUGCAUCCGGGACGAGUUGUUGUACCCGAUCAUUCUUUGGA